rnacentral:misc_RNA from 1 species
GAAAUGCGAUAAGUAAUGUGAAUUGCAGAAUUCAGUGAAUCAUCGAAUCUUUGAACGCACAUUGCGCCCGCCAGUAUUCUGGCGGGCAUGCCUGUUCGAGCGUCAUUUCAACCCUCAAGCUCAGCUUGGUGUUGGGGAUCGGCAGGGCGUCCUCCGGGUCGCGCCGUCCCCCAAAUUUAGUGGCGGUCUCGCUGUAGCUUCCUCUGCGUAGUAAUACACCUCGCACUGGAGUCUCGGCGCGGCCACGCCGUUAAACCCCCAACUUUUUCUGGUUGACCUCGAAUCAGGUAGGACUACCCGCUGAACUUAAGC